AAAUUGAAGAGUUUGAUCAUGGCUCAGAUUGAACGCUGGCGGCAGGCCUAACACAUGCAAGUCGAGCGGUAGCACAGAGAGCUUGCUCUCGGGUGACGAGCGGCGGACGGGUGAGUAAUGUCUGGGAAACUGCCUGAUGGAGGGGGAUAACUACUGGAAACGGUAGCUAAUACCGCAUAACGUCGCAAGACCAAAGUGGGGGACCUUCGGGCCUCAUGCCAUCAGAUGUGCCCAGAUGGGAUUAGCUAGUAGGUGGGGUAACGGCUCACCUAGGCGACGAUCCCUAGCUGGUCUGAGAGGAUGACCAGCCACACUGGAACUGAGACACGGUCCAGACUCCUACGGGAGGCAGCAGUGGGGAAUAUUGCACAAUGGGCGCAAGCCUGAUGCAGCCAUGCCGCGUGUGUGAAGAAGGCCUUCGGGUUGUAAAGCACUUUCAGCGGGGAGGAAGGCGUUAAGGUUAAUAACCUCAUCGAUUGACGUUACCCGCAGAAGAAGCACCGGCUAACUCCGUGCCAGCAGCCGCGGUAAUACGGAGGGUGCAAGCGUUAAUCGGAAUUACUGGGCGUAAAGCGCACGCAGGCGGUCUGUCAAGUCGGAUGUGAAAUCCCCGGGCUCAACCUGGGAACUGCAUUCGAAACUGGCAGGCUAGAGUCUUGUAGAGGGGGGUAGAAUUCCAGGUGUAGCGGUGAAAUGCGUAGAGAUCUGGAGGAAUACCGGUGGCGAAGGCGGCCCCCUGGACAAAGACUGACGCUCAGGUGCGAAAGCGUGGGGAGCAAACAGGAUUAGAUACCCUGGUAGUCCACGCCGUAAACGAUGUCGAUUUGGAGGUUGUGCCCUUGAGGCGUGGCUUCCGGAGCUAACGCGUUAAAUCGACCGCCUGGGGAGUACGGCCGCAAGGUUAAAACUCAAAUGAAUUGACGGGGGCCCGCACAAGCGGUGGAGCAUGUGGUUUAAUUCGAUGCAACGCGAAGAACCUUACCUGGUCUUGACAUCCACAGAACUU
rnacentral:rRNA from 1 species